AUUGAACGCUGGCGGCAGGCUUAACACAUGCAAGUCGAGCGGGGUGAUGGUGCUUGCACUAUCACUUAGCGGCGGACGGGUGAGUAAUGCUUAGGAAUCCGCCUAUUAGUGGGGGACAACAUCUCGAAAGGGAUGCUAAUACCGCAUACGUCCUACGGGAGAAAGCAGGGGAUCUUCGGACCUUGCGCUAAUAGAUGAGCCUAAGUCGGAUUAGCUAGUUGGUGGGGUAAAGGCCUACCAAGGCGACGAUCUGUAGCGGGUCUGAGAGGAUGAUCCGCCACACUAGGACUGAGACACGGCCCAGACUCCUACGGGAGGCAGCAGUGGGGAAUAUUGGACAAUGGGGGGAACCCUGAUCCAGCCAUGCCGCGUGCGCGAAGAAGGCCUUAUGGUUGUAAAGCACUUUAAGCGAGGAGGAGGCUACUUUAGUUAAUACCUAGAGAUAGUGGACGUUACUCGCAGAAUAAGCACCGGCUAACUCUGUGCCAGCCGCCGCAGUAA
rnacentral:rRNA from 1 species